UGUAUUUUGUAAAGUUGUUCUAGUUUUGUAACUAAAAUGGUUUGGCAGUGAGCGAUUCUUAUUAGGGGAAUAUGCAUAGUGAAGGAUGGUCCACCUAUUAGUUUACUCUUUUUAUGUUGGUGUAUGUCUGGUUUGAUAUUAUUGUUGAAUAAUUUAAGUUUGUGUAGUUUUAGUUAAGCUAAGUCUAUGUGCUGCUUAUGGGAGUUUUUGUGUUACAU
rnacentral:rRNA from 1 species